rnacentral:hammerhead_ribozyme from 1 species
AUCCAGCUGACGAGUCUUAAAUAGGACGAAACGCACGUCCUAGAU